UGAGACAAUACCUUCUCUAGCGAAAUCAGAUGGAAGGGCCGGCGACUGAAGUUGCAUGGCCUGUCUCUUGCAAUUGCUUCAGGGUGGAUGCGAGCCAAUCAAGUCCAUCGUAGAGUCCCUCACCACGGAGAGCGCAUGUCCCUUGUAUAUGCCAUAUCCUGUUCCUGAGGUCGUGCAGGCCUAGCCCCUCGCUCACCUCAUCUGGGCUCAUCGCACCUCUCUGUGUCCUGUUUGUUUGCAAAUACUAAGAUUAUGCUGUUUGCCAUCAGUGGGUCCUUGAUAAUGGUCUGAAAAGGGUGCCAAGCUAAAUAUCAACAUGUGUAUAUAAAUUCAAUCUACUAGUUAUUACCAGUGCAUCAGAAUUGCUGAGGUACAUCUUCCAUAAUGGCCUGAGCUUUUCUUGUCCGCCAACAUCCCACACAGUAAAUACCACAUUCUUGUACUGAACCUUCUCUACGUUAAAACCUGCAGAGGGAACCGUUGAAAGAACUUCUCCCAUGUGCAGCCUAUACAAAAUUGUUGUCUUGCCAGCUGCAUCCAAACCAAGCAUCACAACCUUCAUCUCCCUGGUGGAGAAGAAGGCGUCGAAGAGCCGCCGCAGAGCUUGCCCCAUCUCGCCGCCGCCGC
rnacentral:sRNA from 1 species